rnacentral:rRNA from 1 species
GGGUAACGGACAAAGGGGCGGGGGGCUUACACAUGCAAGUCGAGCGGGGGAAGGUAGCUUGCUACCGGACCUAGCGGCGGACGGGUGAGUAAUGCUUAGGAAUCUGCCUAUUAGUGGGGGACAACAUCUCGAAAGGGAUGCUAAUACCGCAUACGUCCUACGGGAGAAAGCAGGGGAUCUUCGGACCUUGCGCUAAUAGAUGAGCCUAAGUCGGAUUAGCUAGUUGGUGGGGUAAAGGCCUACCAAGGCGACGAUCUGUAGCGGGUCUGAGAGGAUGAUCCGCCACACUGGGACUGAGACACGGCCCAGACUCCUACGGGAGGCAGCAGUGGGGAAUAUUGGACAAUGGGGGGAACCCUGAUCCAGCCAUGCCGCGUGUGUGAAGAAGGCCUUAUGGUUGUAAAGCACUUUAAGCGAGGAGGAGGCUACUUUAGUUAAUACCUAGAGAUAGUGGACGUUACUCGCAGAAUAAGCACCGGCUAACUCUGUGCCAGCAGCCGCGGUAAUACAGAGGGUGCGAGCGUUAAUCGGAUUUACUGGGCGUAAAGCGUGCGUAGGCGGCUUAUUAAGUCGGAUGUGAAAUCCCCGAGCUUAACUUGGGAAUUGCAUUCGAUACUGGUGAGCUAGAGUAUGGGAGAGGAUGGUAGAAUUCCAGGUGUAGCGGUGAAAUGCGUAGAGAUCUGGAGGAAUACCGAUGGCGAAGGCAGCCAUCUGGCCUAAUACUGACGCUGAGGUACGAAAGCAUGGGGAGCAAACAGGAUUAGAUACCCUGGUAGUCCAUGCCGUAAACGAUGUCUACUAGCCGUUGGGGCCUUUGAGGCUUUAGUGGCGCAGCUAACGCGAUAAGUAGACCGCCUGGGGAGUACGGUCGCAAGACUAAAACUCAAAUGAAUUGACGGGGGCCCGCACAAGCGGUGGAGCAUGUGGUUUAAUUCGAUGCACGCGAAGACCUUACCUGGCCUUGACAUACUAGAACUUUCCAGAGAUGGAUUG